rnacentral:rRNA from 1 species
UACGAAGGGUGCAAACGUUGCUCGGAAUUAUUGGGCGUAAAGCGCACGUAGGCGGUAUUGCAAGUCGGAUGUGAAAUCCCUCGGCUUAACCAAGGAAGUGCAUCCGAAACUGCUGUACUUGAGUACGAAAGAGGAUCGCGGAAUUCCCGGUGUAGAGGUGAAAUUCGUAGAUAUCGGGAGGAACACCAGUGGCGAAGGCGGCGAUCUGGGUCGAUACUGACGCUGAGGUGCGAAAGCGUGGGGGAGCAAACAGG